rfam:Gossypium raimondii chromosome 2, whole genome shotgun sequence.
AAUCCAUGCAUCAGACAUUUCUGAAUUAAAUAUUUGAAUCGUUCUCAAGCUUCAUAUAGUGUUUCAUCCUCCAGUUGCCAAAAAGAUGUGAUGUCAUUUCUAAGCAU